AUUGAACGCUGGCGGCAUGCCUUACACAUGCAAGUCGAACGGCAGCGGACCUUCGGGUGCCGGCGAGUGGCGAACGGGUGAGUAAUAUAUCGGAACGUACCUUUCAGUGGGGGAUAACGUAGCGAAAGUUACGCUAAUACCGCAUAUUCUGUGAGCAGGAAAGCAGGGGAUCGCAAGACCUUGCGCUGAUUGAGCGGCCGAUAUCAGAUUAGCUAGUUGGUAAGGUAAUGGCUUACCAAGGCGACGAUCAGUAGUUGGUCUGAGAGGACGACCAGCCACACUGGGACUGAGACACGGCCCAGACUCCUACGGGAGGCAGCAGUGGGGAAUUUUGGACAAUGGGCGCAAGCCUGAUCCAGCAAUGCCGCGUGAGUGAAGAAGGCCUCGGUUGUAAGUACUACUUCUAGUUGUAAAG
rnacentral:rRNA from 1 species